AUACGGAGGAUGCAAGCGUUAUCCGGAUUUAUUGGGUUUAAAGGGUGCGUAGGUGGGCUUAUAAGUCAGCGGUGAAAUCCCCCGGCUCAACCAGGGAAUUGCCGUUGAUACUGUUAGCCUUGAGUACAGUUGAAGUGGGCGGAAUGUAGCAUGUAGCGGUGAAAUGCAUAGAUAUGCUACAGAACACCAAUAGCGAAGGCAGCUCACUAAGUUGUAACUGACACUAAUGCACGAAAGCGUGGGGAUCAAACAGGAUUAGAUACCCUGAUAGUCCACGCUGUAAACGAUGAUCACUCGUUGUUGGCGAUAUACAGUCAGCGACUGAACGAAAGUAUUAAGUGAUCCACCUGGGGAGUACGAUCGCAAGGUUGAA
rnacentral:rRNA from 1 species